UACGUAGGGGGCAAGCGUUGUCCGGAAUCAUUGGGCGUAAAGAGCGUGUAGGCGGCCCGAUAAGUCCGCUGUGAAAGUCCAGGGCUCAACCCUGGGAUGCCGGUGGAUACUGUCGGGCUCGAGUCCGGAAGAGGAGUGUGGAAUUCCUGGUGUAGCGGUGAAAUGCGCAGAUAUCAGGAGGAACACCAAUGGCGAAGGCAGCACUCUGGGACGUGACUGACGCUGAGACGCGAAAAGCGUGGGGAGCAAACAGG
rnacentral:rRNA from 1 species